GACGAACGCUGGCGGCGUGCCUAAUACAUGCAAGUCGAGCGAAGUUUUUCUGGUGCUUGCACCGGAAAAACUUAGCGGCGAACGGGUGAGUAACACGUAAAGAACCUGCCUCAUAGACUGGGACAACUAUUGGAAACGAUAGCUAAUACCGGAUAAUAGCAUUAACUGCAUGGUUGAUGUUUAAAAGUUGGUUUUGCUAACACUAUGAGAUGGCUUUGCGGUGCAUUAGCUAGUUGGUGGGGUAAAGGCCUACCAAGGCGACGAUGCAUAGCCGACCUGAGAGGGGGAUCGGCCACACGGGGACUGAGACACGGCCCAGACGCCUACGGGAGGCAGCAGUAGGGAAUCUUCCGCAAUGGGCGAAAGCCUGACGGAGCAACGCCGCGUGAGUGAAGAAGGAUUUCGGUUCGUAAAGCUCUGUUGUUAGGGAAGAAUGAUUGUGUAGUAACUAUACACAGUAGAGACGGUACCUAACCAGAAAGCCACGGCUAACUACGUG
rnacentral:rRNA from 1 species